rnacentral:rRNA from 1 species
UACGUAGGGUGCAAGCGUUAAUCGGAAUUACUGGGCGUAAAGCGUGCGUAGACGGUUACGUAAGUCAGAUGUGAAAGCCCCGGGCUCAACCUGGGAAUUGCAUUUGAGACUGCGUAGCUAGGGUGCGGAAGAGGGAAGCGGAAUUUCCGGUGUAGCGGUGAAAUGCGUAGAUAUCGGAAGGAACACCAGUGGCGAAAGCGGCUUCCUGGUCCAGCACCGACGUUCAGGCACGAAAGCGUGGGGAGCAAACAGG